rnacentral:rRNA from 1 species
UACGAAGGGUGCAAACGUUGCUCGGAAUUAUUGGGCGUAAAGCGCACGUAGGCGGCUUGGCAAGUCGGAUGUGAAAUCCCUCGGCUCAACCAAGGAAGUGCAUCCGAAACUGCCGAGCUUGAGUACUUAAGAGGAUCGCGGAAUUCCCGGUGUAGAGGUGAAAUGCGUAGAUAUCGGGAGGAACACCAGUGGCGAAGGCGACUUCCUGGCCUGUUCUUGACGCUGAGGCGCGAAAGCUAGGGUAGCAAACGGGG